AUGCUUAAAGCCACAGCGUCUCUCUGCCGUGACCUAUUUUACGCUCGAUGCAAGGGCAGCAGCGUGCGGUUCGUAACUUUGCCGGGGUUUUUAUUGCCUGCCGGGAGCGAAGCCCCCCCCCACACACGUUUCCCCUGCCUUCCCGGCUGCUUAAGGACCCGUUUUGGGUUCCUUGGUGGCUUUUUAUGGUAUCGGCUCCGAGCGCAGGCACAGCAGAGAGCAAAUUGUAAACAGUUCGGAGGAAAACACUUCGUGUCCUGCAGGAAGCUCGGCGUACUUCAAGCUCAGCUUCAGAAGCUGCCCGGGGUCCGGGGGGUAAAUAUGCCAUUCUUCAUGACACCGGACAACUUAAUGACACAGCUGGUCACCAAAAGGAGGCUGUAACGUCGUGCUAAGCAGAAGAAAUACUGCCUGUUACGUGGAGGUACGCUCAUUUUACAAGACAUGCUUACACUGAACCUCGUUGGUUUGAAAUCAGCGAUGCCAAGACCGUAUAUUUGCUACCACAAGGAACACCAGGCUUUGCAAAAAUUUACUACCGGGAGUAGCACUUAAUGCUGACGGAUUCAUGGAGCAGAUUGUGUGGAUCCCCCCUCUCUUACGGCUCGAAAGUUUGCUCAAGCUCGUUAGGAGUGGUUUGGAAAAGCCAAAUUGUAAUGCCUAAGAUCAGGCAGCUGAAGGUCAGAAAUGAAAUUACUUUGAAAAAGGUUUACAAAACUUGGCGUCGCUGGACGUAUUACAUGACAUUUAGAAAAAGAAUGAUAAUGAAGAAAAAAAAAUUGUGGUGAUUGUGUUUGUUGACAUUUGAAACAUUUGAAACAUCUCCCCGUGGAGCUUGCAACCCAAACACGGCCGCGUUGUGCUAGCCUUUAAGAAACAGAAAGUGGAACUAAAGGAAAUUUAUUAAAAUAGUGUGGCUGAUUAUACACUCUAAAGGGAAAUCAAGUAACCUCAUUUCCUUAUCUCAUCUGAGCAAAAGGCUAAAAAAAGGGGGUGGGGAAAUGCACUUUUUUCGGUUUUAGUCAUCUCAAGUAUUACUAAUCACAGAAGUACAGCGUAAUUUGAAGUGCGUUUCAAUACGCUUCCGAGCCCUUUAAAGUAGACUUCUGAAAUCAGAGGCUAAGGUGGUGUUGCUCAUUGAUUAAGGGGUAAGGGGCAAGAGCUAAAGAGCUCCUUUCAGCCCGGUGCAGGCACCAGGUCGCGCAGAGCUGUGCAGGAUCAGGCCAGGUAGGUGUCAGCACCAACAUUAUGCAGUUCUCAGCAGGCAAUCUUUAAGAUUCAGCUCCGCUCGUAAUGCACUUGGCUAAUUGGAUAAUACCGCAAAGAGAGGAGAGGAUUUUCAUGUGCCUUCCUGAAAGGAUUUUUGAUCCUUUCUGAGGUUUUU
rnacentral:lncRNA from 1 species